CACUUCAUCACUGACACACACAACAAUCUUCAUCAACAUGACCUUCAUCAUCAUCUGGACGCUCUUACACUGCUUUAUACUACAAGUGUGUAGAGCUCAGGUCACAGUGACUCAAACUACUUUAGUGAAAACUGCAACACCAGAAGAAACUGUUGAGAUGAGCUGUAAACUCAGUAGAGCUGCUACAACCUGCACCCCAGCAUACUGUGUGUACUGGUACUUACAGAAACCAGGAGAAGCUCCUAAACUCCUGAUUUAUAACACAAAACUCCUCCAGUCAGGAACUCCAUCUAGAUUCAGUGGCAGUGGAUCUAACAGUGAUUUCACUCUGACCAUCAGUGGAGUCCAGACUGAAGAUGCUGGACAUUAUUACUGUCAGAUUUUACAUACUGGUGUGUUCACACAGUGA